UGAUUGAACUGAGCUAAUGUUGAACCGAAAGCUAACUAAACUAACUGUGUUGGACUUUUGUCUGUAAAUGUGUGUGUAGAGAGCUGAGUGUGUGUGUCAAUGUGUUCCUGUGUCCUCAGAGAAUAAUCUGUACAUUUCCUUUCUAGAGUUUUAUUAAUGAGUUAAAGUGUGUUCAUGUUUAGAGGCUCUGCUGCAAAAAUCCGGAGUGUGUUUUCCUCUGUAGAACAUCAGGAUUGAAUCUGCUCUUCACUGAGCUGCAGUCAGGGAGGAGGACGUUCUGACUGCAGGAGGAGGAGCAGACCUCUCUGUAGAAACACUGAAAGUACACAUUAGACAUUAAAGAGUCAGCAAUAUUUCAUCAGAUGAUCACAUGUUUUAACCCGAUCAAAGGGACUAUAUCUGACAGACAGAUGCGGUUAGAGCAUCGUUGUGUAAAUGAUGUAUCUGUAAAACAGAGUUGGAUCAGAUACAGGAUGUAAACAGAUGUUUGUUUCUACAUAGGAAACACACUUCCCAGAGCUCAGGAGGUUCAGUCUCAUGUCCUGUGGGAUCAAACCGUCCCUGAGUCAGGUGGUCUUUGUCCGGAGUAUAAAGGAGUCGUUCAGCUUUAGUUGUUCAGACUGUGAGCCUCGAUCUAAUGUGAACUAUAGCCCUGACUUUAGAGUCACAUUCACUUUGUGUCUUCACUUUCAGGCUCUUCUACUGGAUUGAUUUGUGCUGUUGUAGUUCUCUGCAUUAUUGUAGUUGGUUAGUUGGUGGUGUCGUUGUAUACAUCAAACGUAAAGGAAAGAAAGAGACGCCAAACCCAGCAGCUUCUGAAACAGAUAAACUGAAUGAAGUUCUGUAACUGAGUCGGACCGGUAACCAGCCUCCCCUGUGAUAAAGUGUGUGUGUUCACACUCUGUGCUUCCCAUCAGACUGUGUGAUAUUGUGAGGACUUUUCUCUGCUCCUCAUUUAUUCCAGAGAGAGUUAAGAGCUGGUUUUGAGGUUUAAAUGAGUUUUGAAUGAACAAGAGGCCGUGGUUCAAGGGUAAAAUAUAAAACUCCUCUAGAUUUUAAACAAAUGUAAAUUAUUUUAGAACUCAAAAGAUGUUAACAAGCAGACACAGAAGAGAGGAAGAGCCCUUUAAUGCAUGAGUCGUUCCUUAAAGACAGAACUGGUUAAUGUUUGGAGUUCUACUUCAACACACACACUUGGAAUGCCUUCCCUGUGUUCAGGAGGACGGGUUCUCUCUGUUUUUAUGUCGCUUUUUUUCUCUUCAUUUAGAUUUUUUUUGCACUUCUUUUUUAUUUGUCAACGCAGGGAUAUUAAUUCCAGGUAACAAGGCCAUCCGGAAUAUAGUGACAUCACUACGGAACACUCCCGCUUCAACACAUUGUUAUAAUAGGCUAAAUUGGCGGGACAUCUCUAAGUGGUUGACCAAUAAACAACAGAGCCGGCCAGCUGACCAAUCAGAGCCCCUAAAUAUGUCCUCUUCAGAUAUAAAGUCAUUUCAUUUAUGAUAAGGCCUCACAACAAAGUAUUAUACUAAAGGAUUAAUACGAGAGGAAUUGACUCUUAAUUAUGACGAAACAGAUGAUUGAUGAAUCAUUCCUUUAAUAGAUAAUAGGUUUUGUGACUGAACUGAGAUCUGCUAUCUCAAAUGCCUUAAUUUAGUUUAGAAAAACUGUUUAUUUGACUGUUUAUGAAGCUUUGAGAUUUUUAUUCUAUUACCUUUUUCACUUAGUAUUUGCACAUGUGUGUACUUUGAUUAUUUGCAGGUAUUUUAUUUUAUAACAGUAUUUAUUUAAUGGAGGAGAGGAAGCUACAGAGAAACUGAUGCAGAGUGAGGAGAUGGCAGAGCAGCAGAUUAGUAAUGAGGACAAGUUACGCAAAGUUUAAACCAUCAUCACCAGAGUUUGAUCUUUCAGUAGUUUUUGUGUAAAUGAAUGUUAUUAAGUCAUAAAAGCAUGGCGUCCAUGAUUGUAGUCCUUUACCAGAGGCUCCCCUGCUGCUUGCAGUUCUUAAAGGAUGUGCAGAAUCUCUCUGAUCUGAAGCCUGCUGUCCCGCUGUAACACUCUGAAGCUAAAGGGAAAUAUAAUGGCACUUAUUUUAUAUGUGUAUUCACAUUGUUUGUUAGGAGCUUGUUGUGUGUGAUUUAAUAAAGCUGUAAUCCAAAGUCUGUCAGCUGAAGGAUGAGCUCUGUUCCUGUGAUGAGGAACUGCUCCUCUGAAAGCUCCUUGAUGUUCUCUGAUGCUCUGCAGGGUUUCUGUGCUUCAUUUAAACUCACCCAUUUAUAUCCAGAUGUUUCAAUAAAGCAUGGAGUCCA